UGGAAACAGAGGCUGGGGAAGGACCUUGGCCCUGUCUCCCGGGGCAGCCUGGCCGUCUGCCCGUGGGCACACCGUACCUCAAAGAGACAGCGGUGCAGCUUCCUUGAGGAUGAAAAGCAGGGCUUGUUAGCAACUUUUGCGAAAAGCAAGUGGCUGACAAGCCCAGACACACACAGGGCAUUCCAGCAGAGACAGAGGGGCAGACGCGUCCCCAGGAUAGCGCGGACAGGAGGGUCAGCAGGAUGCCAGAGGAACCAGCGCAGGAACCUGGGCUGGGAUGCAGCAGCACCGGAGCGAAGGAGCCGCGGCAGACCCCGCGGAGGACACGUGAAAGGGCGGCUGCGGCGGAGGCCUGACACGCUGUUCCUCCUUCCCGGCCUGCUCCCCGGCGUUCUGAGGCUCUUUCCGCUACAAGACAGAAGAGCAGCGAAAACAGACUCAAAGGGAAAGUGAGAAGUGAUCGACCCAUGUGAUUCCAAAGUCCAGAAACAGAGCUGACCUGAGAAUUUGGGGCCAAUAAACCUAUG